UACGUAGGGAGCAAGCGUUGUUCGGAUUUACUGGGCGUAAAGGGCGCGUAGGCGGCGUGUCAAGUCAAUUGUGAAAUCUCCGGGCUUAACUCGGAACGGCCAAUUGAUACUGUCAUGCUAGAGUGCAGAAAGGGCAAUCGGAAUUCUUGGUGUAGCGGUGAAAUGCGUAGAUAUCAAGAGGAACACCUGAGGCGAAGGCGGGUUGCUAGGCUGACACUGACGCUGAGGCGCGAAAGCCAGGGGAGCAAACGGGAUUAGAUACCCCCGUAGUCC
rnacentral:rRNA from 1 species